CUAAUAAAGGAGAAGGAUGAGCUAAAUAAAGGGGAGGAAUAAGUAUACCUUUUCUGGAGAUGGGCAGACAUUAUCUGAGAAUUUAGUUACAGCCUCUACUCCCUCCUUUUAUGGUUCUUUCCAGUCAUCACCAUGGCAACCGUCAACUGUCACAGCACCGAGGAAUGUGACAUUUAGCAUGGGGAUGGCUCAUAAUGAAAGCUAGAGGUUGUCUGGGGUCACUCAGCAGUCGCUGUAGAUCCAGCCUGUUUUGGCUGGCCCUGCUGAAAAGGAGCCUCUGGCCUACAGGCUCCUGUCCUGAAAGAUAAACCAGAUUAAGGGUGGGUAGAAAUUCAGCCAGCUCAAGUGAACAGCACAAGAUCAGGGUAGGUAAAACCAUAGCCCACAAUGUACUCUCAUCUAGAAAAAGGCUCUUUACAGGUGGAAUUAAGUGAAAAUGAAGUCAGUACCAUCAACUUCAACCCAGUAUGACUGUUGUCCUUAUAAAAAGUCCACAGGGAGAAGCAAGCCAACACCCGCCUUGGCUCCAGACUCGGGAACUCCAGGUUGUGGCCCUUCCCUGCGGCAGCCCUGGCCAGCUCACUGCUAGACAGACUUCCUGCAGCAACCGGUGCACACACCUCCUGCUUCCUGAAGGGAGGCUGCUCCCCCGGCAAACAAGGCAGCGCUUCCUGUUCCCAGUCUCUGCUUCCAGGAUGUUAGUCUUCCUCCCUCAGCUACACAAUAGCUUCCAAGGCCAACGUCCCUCCUUCCGGCCCUGCCUUUCCUCCACCCAGCACUUCAGCACCCGUCAUCAAAGGAGAUCUCAACAUCCACGGAGGGACCCAUGCAACCCCCAGGUUCAAGGUUCCUCCGCCACCAGGGCUUUCACAUCCACUCCAUCCACCCAUGUUCAGGGCCUCCCCACACCUGUGUCACCUCUUCCACCCCCCCCCAAUGGCUUUACCUGUGACACCAGGAGCACUGGCCUCAUGCCCUUUGACCUCUCUCUCUUCUCCAUCAACCAGCUCUGCCCUUCCUGCCGGUCCCAGUAGGGGACUAGCACUUCUGCCUGCCUGGCCAAGGCUCUCUCUUCCCUUCCUGGAUAUCAUCCCUGCCCUGGGGCAUCACCAGUCACCAGUUAUCUCCCCUCAGCCCUCUGUCCAUCUGCCGUCACCUCUUUCUAGCCUUUUCCCAUCAGUAUUUACUCAGCCAAAUCUAUCUCAGCUUUAAAGAGAGAGUUCUGUACACAUGAUUUUUUUUUUUCUGGAAGAAAAAUAUAAGAAACUGAUUGGCCUGGGUGGUAGUUCAGUGAUAGAGUGCUUGCCUGGCAAGUGUAAGGCCCUAGGUUGGAUCCACCCCAGCCUGGAAAGAAAAAAAAGAAAAAGAAAAAGAAAAAGAGAGAGAGGGAGAGAGAGAGGGAGAGGGAGAGAAAGAAAGAAAGAAAGAAAGAAAGAAAGAAAGAAAGAAAGAAAGAAAGAGAAGGAAAGAAAAAGAAAGAAAGGAGGGAGGGAAAGAAGAGGGAAGGGGAGAGAAGGAGAGAAGGAGGAAUGGAAAGAAGGAAGAAAUAAAGAAAGGAAAGAAAGAAGAAAAAAGAAAAGAAAGAAGAGAAAGAAGAAAUUGAUCAUAAUUAUCUUUGGAGAGAGACUGAAAAGUACAGUAUUUUAUUUUUCAUUUAAUAAAUUUGCUUUAUAUAGCCUUUGACUUUUAACCACAUACAUGUAAUAACAUUGUUGUUAAAAAUAGCAAAUGGAUAACAAAUGGUGGUAGGGGUGUGGGGAGAAAGGAACCCUUCUCCAUUCCUGGUGGGAGUGCAGGCUGGUGCAACCACCAUGGAAAUCAGUAUGGAGAGACCUCAAAGAACUAGGCUUAGACAUCCCAUUCGACCCAGCUAUCCCCCUGCUGGGUAUUUUCCCCAAAAAAUUAAAAGAAUCAUACCACAGUGAUAUAUGUGCACCCAUGUUCAUAGCGGCACAGUUUGUAAUAGCUAAAGCUUGGAAGCAGCCCAAAUGCCU
rnacentral:lncRNA from 1 species